rnacentral:rRNA from 1 species
UACGAAGGGAGCUAGCGUCGUUCGGAAUCACUGGGCGUAAAGCGCACGUAGGCGGAUGUGUCAGUCAGGGGUGAAAUCCCGGAGCUCAACUUCGGAACUGCCUUUGAUACUGUCUGUCUUGAGUCCGGGAGAGGUGAGUGGAGUUCCUAGUGUAGAGGUGAAAUUCGUAGAUAUUAGGAAGAACACCAGUGGCGAAGGCGGCUCACUGGCCCGGUACUGACGCUCAUGUGCGAAAGCGUGGGGAGCAAACAGG